GCUCCCAUCGUCUAGUGGCCUAGGACAACGGAUUCUCAGUCCGUGAACAGGGGUUCGACUCCCCUUGGGAGUACCA
rnacentral:tRNA from 1 species